rnacentral:rRNA from 1 species
AGUGAACGCUGGCGGUAGGCCUAACACAUGCAAGUCGAACGGCAGCACAGUAAGAGCUUGCUCUUACGGGUGGCGAGUGGCGGACGGGUGAGGAAUACAUCGGAAUCUACUUUUUCGUGGGGGAUAACGUAGGGAAACUUACGCUAAUACCGCAUACGACCUACGGGUGAAAGCAGGGGAUCUUCGGACCUUGCGCGAUUGAAUGAGCCGAUGUCGGAUUAGCUAGUUGGCGGGGUAAAGGCCCACCAAGGCGACGAUCCGUAGCUGGUCUGAGAGGAUGAACAGCCAACCUGGAACUGAGACCCGGGCCAAAACCCUACGGGAGGCAGAAGGGGGGAAUAUGGAACAAUGGGCGGAAGCCUGAUCAGGCCAUACCGGGGGGGUGAAGAAGGCCUUCGGGUUGGAAAGCCCUUUUGUGGGGAAAGAAAAGCAGCAGGUUAAUACCCCGCUGUUCUGACGGUACCAAAAGAAUAAGCCCCGGCUAACUUCGU